AUACGGAGGGUCCGAGCGUUACUCGGAAUCACUGGGCGUAAAGCGCGCGCAGGCGGGCUGAUAAGUUGGAUGUGAAAGCCUACGGCUCAACCGUAGAACUGCAUCCAAAACUGUCAGUCUAGAGUCUGGGAGGGGAAGAUGGAAUUAGUUGUGUAGGGGUAAAAUCCGUAGAGAUAACUAGGAAUACCAAAAGCGAAGGCGAUCUUCUGGAACAGUACUGACGCUGAGGCGCGAAAGCGUGGGGAGCAAACAGGAUUAGAAACCCUAGUAGUCC
rnacentral:rRNA from 1 species